ACUGUUGGGUGCGCUGCCUAUAAAGGUGGGUGGUUGUGCACUGGGAGCACUCUUGCCUGGGAGCUCCUGGCUAUCCCGCCUCCUGUUGUCACCGAAACCUGAUCGCCUCACCAGAUCGCCUUUUAGCUGGAUCGUGCAGCUCGCCGUUGUUUGGUAUGUAGUAGUUGUGUGCAUCUGUGUACCUUCUAAACUUUGCACAAGUCCUCAACAUUGGCUUCCAUCCCUCAGGCAGUUCAUUGGCCGGGUCUUCCCUCUCCCGUAUCGACCCCAGUUGUAGGGCGUGCGAGUGUUUCCUCCUCUACCUGUUGCAGCGGGGAGCGAUCAGCUGAUUGAUCGAGUUGCACUUGUAAUUGUGCUGCUCGGUACAAGUGAUCCCCUUCCUCCCCUUUGAUGUUCAUUCAACUCCUGACGGGUUGACGUGUGUGUGUGGGCGGUUUCUGCCAGCACGUCCCCCCCCUCUUCACGCUGCUGUUGGCCGGCUGCCGUUUUGUCCAUUGGUUUUAUAGCCAACACAUCCAUCCUACUCUGCAUCUCCUACUGUGCUGUACCUGCCACCGAGUAUGGUGAUUGCUGCCUCAUCCUCAGUCUCAUUAUCUUAAUCCAUUCAUUUAACCGACUUCUAACUGAUCUUAUUGUUGAUAUUAUUUGUGUUUUGUGGGUUGCUUUGCAUGUUUGUUUUGGUUUAAUUCGUUUUCAUAGUUAUUUUGGUUUGGCUUAAUUGCUUUACUUAUCCAUGAUAUUAUUUGUGUUUUGUGGGUUGCUUUGCAUGUUUGUUUUGGUUUAAUUCGUUUUCUUAGUUAUUUUGGUUUGGCUUAAUUGCUUUACUUAUUCAUUUGGAUUUAUCAGCUUGGAUAAAUCUCCUUUACUUUUGUGUGUGUGUGUUCGUUCGCUUUAGUGUGUUUGUGUGAACAUAUUUCAUUGAGAAGUCAUGUUUAAAGAUUAUAUAUAUUAAUUAAAAGGAAUUGAAUUUGUAUGCUGGACCCAGUCUCAAGCUUUCAUUAGUGAACGAACUUGUGUGCUUUAACUUAGGUUAAUCUAACUCUCCA
ensembl:lncRNA